CCUACGGGAGGCAGCAGUGGGGAAUAUUGCGCAAUGGGCGAAAGCCUGACGCAGCGACGCCGCGUGAGGGAUGAAGGUCUUCGGAUCGUAAACCUCUGUCAGCAGGGAAGAACGGUCACGGUGCUAAGCAGCAGUGAAUUGACGGUACCUGCAAAGGAAGCACCGGCUAACUCCGUGCCAGCAGCCGCGGUAAUACGGAGGGUGCGAGCGUUAAGCGGAAUUACUGGGCGUAAAGCGCGCGGAGGCGGUAUGUCAAGUCAAGGGUGAAAUCCCCGCGCUCAACGUGGGAACUGCCUUUGAAACUGGCAACCUGGAGUGUGUUAGAGGCUAGUUGAAUUCCAGGUGUAGCGGUGAAAUCCGUAGAUAUCUGG
rnacentral:rRNA from 1 species